GAAUAAGCAAAAUAGAUGCCAAGUAGAGCAGAAAGUAUUGCUUUUCCCAUUCUCUAAUGGCCUAGUGACUGCCUGGGAGGGACUAACAAGCUUUUUGGAAUUGACAACUUUCUCCUGGCCCAGGACACAUCAGGCUUGAUGCCAUUCCUGCCACUUGAAGAUAAUGAACCAUCAUCCUCUGUCAGAAAUAAAAACUUAUUUAAUGAAUGGUAAAGCUAGGAAUCAUAAGCAAGAAAAGUGCUUAGUAGCAUUUCAUACUAUUAAAACCCCACCCAACUUGAUUCCGUUUUGUUCUUUUGUUAUGUAAUUGCUCUUUCUCUAGGGUUCUUUCCUAGUGCUUAAUUCAUGGAAACUUUCCAUCAUGUUCUUCCUCAUUUUGUUUAAAUUCUUUUAAAUUCAAUUUCCCCAACAUUUGUAAAAUCCACCAAAACAUACAUAUGCAUAGUAGAGUGUUCUAAACAUUGGACUAAGGCACAUUUUGGUCUUCCUUCUCUGAGUUGUCUAUCCAAUGAUCUUAAAACUACUUUGAAAAUAGUAUUUUAAAAUUGUUUUACACAGAAAUUCCAUUAAACUUAAAAAAAAAAAGCAUUAUUGCUCCAAUAUUGAGAUAUUACUGUGAAACCCUUCACUAUCUAAUGGUAUCUUUAAUUUUUUGUGGAAAAAUUUCCACCAUGUUGCCCUUAAGUAAUACCUCUAUCCUAUAUUUUGAUCGGCAAAGUUCUCUUUUCAGGUUUCAUUAAAUAAGCACUGACACACUUUGCCAGGGCCUACUCACUUCGAUUUUGGACAAAACUAUAAUCUAAGGGGGAAAGGGCCGGGGGUUGGGGGGAUACAUAUAUAAGGAAACAAAGAGUAAGAAGUAGAUACAUAACAGCUUAAAAUUUUGAAUUACUUUCAGUACUAUUUUAUGUACUAAUUUUUUUGAAUGAUCUAAAAAGUUUCAUUGGGGCCAUUUAUAAACCUGCAGAUGAGCAGUGUACUGGAGUACUCCUGGAAUACCUACCAACAGAACUGACAUCUAAUCUAAUCACUUCAUCCUAGGAAGACUCUUGAGGGCUUGCUUUAUCUAUCUGAGGUUACAUGCAAACUUUCAAGCCUGGUGGUAAAGGAUUAACUCACAGCCCUAAUGUGGACUGACUUCUUUCUGUACUUCAAUUUUAUGCUCUAUACAAUGGAGAUUAUAAUUGUACCUAUGUCAUAAGGUUGUUGUGAAAUGAGUUAAUAAACUUAUACCACUUAGAAAGGACUUGGGACAUGAUGAGCAUAUUAUAAGCAUCUGUUAUUAUCUGAUAAUCAUUAUAUUACUUCUUAUCCCAGGCAAUUUUUAUGUGGCAUAAAUUGUUACGUCUAUUUUCAUGAUGAUCUGCAGUUUUCAGAGCACUUUUAAUAUGUCUAUCACCAUAUUCAAUAUGUUCAUAUCCAUCAUAAAGAAAAUACUGUGUUAAUGUAUGCAUUGAAAAAAACAACUGUCUCAGCCAUUUUAAAGAGUCACCUAUGAAAAUCCAUGCACUAUAAAAUGUAAAUAAAUGACAGUUUAAAAUAUAUUGCAGGAGUUCCUGUUGUGACACAGUGGUUAACGAAUCCACCAGGAACCAUGAGGUUGCGGGUUCAGUCCCUGCCCUUGCUCAGUAGGUUAACGAUCCGGCAUAGCCGUGAGCUGUGUAGGUCGCAGACUCGGCUCGGAUCCUGCGUUGCUGUGGCUCUGGCUUAGGCCAGUGGCUACAGCUCUGAUUAGACCCCUAGCCUGGGAACCUCCAUAUGCCGCGGGAGCGGCCCAAGAAAUGGCAAAAAGACAAAUAAAUAAAUAAAUAAAUAAAAUAUAUUGCAAAAUAAUACUUAGCAUUUAUUGAAGUAAAAAAGCUAAGUAAAUGGCUCAAUAUUAUAUAGGCAGUUAGUUGUAGACAAGCUUUGAGCCCAGGCAUUCCGACUCUAUUUCUUGUAUUCAAAAACACUGAUUUAUCUUUCAGAGGCCAUAUAGUACCUUUAAAACAAAUCAGAAAAAUAAUUUAAACUAUGUAUGAUAGAAUGAUAAUUAUUCAUCUGAGUCAAUCCAUUGUUACAUCUUAUAUCUGUUAUCUUUUAUUUUCUGGCUAAUUUUAAGAUAAUAUUCUCUUUAGUUUUCUGCAGCUCUAAAUUAUGAUAUACCUAGAUAUGAAUUUCUUUUUUAAAUAUAUAUUUUGAUCAGGAUUGUUUGGACUUCGUGAAACCAUGGGAUGCUGUCUUUAAUUUUUUGUGGAAAAAUUUCCACCGUGUUGACCUUAAGUAAUAUCUCUACCCUAUAUUUUGAGUAGCAAAGUUCUAGGUAAUUUCUUCUGUUAUAUCUUUUUAUACACUAGUUCUUUUUUCAGAAGUAUUUAAUUUGGUGUUAAAUCCACCCAUUGAGUUUCUAAUUUGGAUUAGUUAUUUUGUUUUAGCUCCAGAAUUUCUAUUUAGUUAUUUUUCAAGCCUAUUGUUUUUAUAAUUUCCUGAAGAAAUUUAAAAAGAUUCUUUUAUUUCUUUAAAAAAUAGUACAUAUAGUAAUUUUUUUUAAUAUUUGUUCAGCCAUUCCAAUCUGUUUCUCUUUUUCGAUGCUUUUCAUUUUUGUUUCUUUCUAUAUGUGCUCAAUAAUCUUCGAAUUUGAAAAUUAUUUGUAGAAAAAAAAUUUUGAGGCUUAGAAUAAAGCUCCACUCUAACCAAGAAGAUUGUUGUUUACUUCUGCAAUCCAUCUGGGGCUCCCUACCAGUCUGAGAACAUUUUCCAGUUCAUCCAGAGUGUGAGCAUCUUGGCUGCCGAUACCUAUAAGGGGAAGUUUACUUCUGGUUCAAGUUUUCCCUGACAGUACAGCCAUUCAGAAGCUUAGUCUAUCAGGUGGAUCUCCACUUAGCUGACCCUGUGUUUGAAGUUUUGUCCUCUUAGUCUCAUAAGACCACCAACAUGAAAGCUCAAUUUUUAGCCUUUUGUUUCGAAAUGGGAAAAUGCCCUCAGGAAAAAGGUAACUAUAAGACUUGACCUUACCUUUCUGGCUUCUCAUUUACUCCAGCAUUUUGGCCUGGUAAAAAAAAAGCUCUUUGGUGCUUUUAAGUUUGUCCUGAAUAGAAAAAUUGCUCUAAAUUUCCUAGCCUGCUAUUACUAG
rnacentral:lncRNA from 1 species